AUGGGAUGGGGCCAUUCCAUCCGUGUUGACAGUUCAUUGAAGAAAACCCAAUAUUGUACAAGAAAAAAAAUAUAUUGAAAAUGAAAAUGCUUGUAUGCAACAUCAAAGCAUAAGGCUAUCUCGACCAAAAUUAAACAAAGAAAUAUGAUUCUAUGAUGCAAUGAAUUUGACUCUAAAAGAAACCAAUGUUUUUGACAAAAACUAAGUCUGUGAUAACCCAAAAUGUAUUUUUAUUUGAAUAUUCAAAAUUUCUUAUGCCAAGGCAAAAAAAAUGAAAAAUAUUUAUUUUGAUCAUGAUCGAUAAAAUAAUUGUUCAGUACAACCUUUCACGACGAAACCAACAAAUGCUGCUGUAAAAUUCUCUUCGGAUCCAAAGAAAACCAAUCCAGUUUCCAUCACAGGAACCAUGUUCUUGAUUCUCUGGUAGAUAUCAUCAUGUGCAGAAUACUACUUCACUUUUCUGGUGAAAUUGAAUAUCAUAGUUGAUAAAAUUACUUUUACAACGAAGAUUACCUAUUCAGAUUGAUGUCUAUUUCAACAUAAUUUCAUAAAUUUACAUAUUCAGCUAAGUGAUACUAGACGUGCCAACUCAACGAAGUUCCUUUCGAAGUGACUUUUGAAAAAUGGAAAAUUUUGAUGAUUAUUACCAAUA